UACAGAGGCCCCGAGCAUUAUCCGGAUUUACUGGGCGUAAAGGGUGUGUAGGUGGCGUAAUUAGUCUCUCGUUAAAACCCAGAGCUUAACUUUGGGAUCGCGAGGGAAACGGUUACGCUCGAGGACGCGAGAGGUAUAUGGAACUCAUGGUGUAGGGGUGAAAUCCGUUGAUAUCAUGGGGAACACCAAAUGCGAAGGCAAUAUACUGGCGCGUUCCUGACACUGAAACACGAAAGCGUGGGUAGCGAAUGGG
rnacentral:rRNA from 1 species